AAAAAAAAUAAAAUAAAAUUCCAUUGCGUAACACGGCACUUUUCUACCCAAUGUAACAUGCGCAAGUGUAUCCACGCUGAAGCAUAUGCCAGGAACCUUCAUACUGUACCUGCUUUAAUAGCACUGAUAUCUUCUACCCCAUCUUGUUAACUUUCUUAUUUUUGGUUCGUCAUCGAAAGGUAGCAUUUUGUAAAAUUUUUCUGGCGGAUAGUUUAUGUGAAAUAUUAGGAACUAGUUAACUAAGGGAGUAUAACUUAAUUGGUUUUGCUUACAAGUAAAUUGUUGGUGGGAAGUUUCGACUUGAGUCCUUUCCUAAAGCCCCAAAAGUAGAAGAAGAAUCUACUUUUGUAACAAUGACUCUUGGUUUAGGCCAGUUUGCCUUUGACAUGGAGGUUCCAAGGCUUGAAUCUUUAUGGUUCAAUUUUCUUGUGUUUAUAUUUGGGAUUACGAAUUGACAAUUAAGAUUCGUCAAUGAUAUGACAGCCUUGAUGAUGAAUAUUUUAAGCUAAGCAUUCUUAACAUGCUUUAAUAGUAUAAUUAUUGUCAUGAGUAGUGAUAUAGAAUAGAAUAUUAACCCAAUGUUCUGCAGUUGCCAAAUUUACAACCAAACAUUAGACUGUAGCUUUUAAAAAUUCAGAAUUAAAACAUAGGGUGAGUGCAGGAAGCUACUUUACCAAGAAAGUAGCCAGAAAAUGGACCUAGUAGCUUACCAGUGAAU
rnacentral:misc_RNA from 1 species